GAUGAAGAACGCAGUGAAAUGCGAUACUUGGUGUGAAUUGCAGAAUCCCGUGAACCAUCGAGUCUUUGAACGCAAGUUGCGCCCGAAGCCAUUAGGCCGAGGGCACGCCUGCCUGGGCGUCACACGUCGUUGCCCCCCCAUCUACUCCUUCGGGAUUGCGGGGGGCGGAUGAUGGCCUCCCGUGCGCCUCGUCGCGCGGUUGGCAUAAAUGCCAAGUCCUCGGCGACGCACGCCACGACAAUCGGUGGUUGCGAAACCUCGGUUGCCCGUCGUGUGCGGUCGUCGCGCAUCGAGGGCUCGAAAAAAUUGCCGGGCUCCGGCUCGGCUUUCAACGCGACCCCAGGUCAGGCGGGGUUACCCGCUGAAUUUAAGCAUAUCAAUAAGCGGGGA
rnacentral:misc_RNA from 1 species